ACUGACUAGCUCCCUUCAAUAACGGGUAUUCUUGGGUAUAUAAUACAGAUGGCGUUGUUAUUGCUUGAGAAUACGCGUAGUUGAGGGGAUGCUGAUUCAUC
rnacentral:pre_miRNA from 11 species